UAAUACGUAGGGUGCAGGCGUUAAUCGGAAUUACUGGCCGUAAAGCGUGCGCAGGCGGUCUAUUAAGACAGGUGUGAAAUCCCCGGGCUUAACCUGGGAACUGCGCUUGUAACUGAUAGGCUUGAGUGUGGCAGAGGGGGGUGGAAUUCCAGGUGUAGCAGUGAAAUGCGUAGAGAUCUGGAGGAACACCGAUGGCGAAGGCAGCCCCCUGGGCUAACACUGACGCUCAUGCACGAAAGCGUGGGGAGCAAACAGGAUUAGAUACCCUGGUAGUCCACGCCCUAAACUAUGUCAACUGGUUGUCGGGGAAAGCAAUUCCUUGGUAACGAAGCUAACGCGUGAAGUUGACCGCCUGGGGAGUACCGCCGCAAGGCU
rnacentral:rRNA from 1 species